GUUAAAAAGCUCGUAGUUGGAUUUCUGUUAGGGUGAGGCGGCCGGCCACUCGUGGUUGUAGCUUGUUAUCACCUUGGCAUCUUGUCACAAUCCGUGAUGGCAUUAACUUGUUGUCGCUGGGGACUGACUCGUUUACUUUGAGAAAAUUAGAGUGUUCAAAGCAGGCUAUCGCCUUGAAUAUAUUAGCAUGGAAUAAUAAUAUAGGACUUUGGUUCUAUUUUGUUGGUUGUUCGAGAACCGAAGUAAUGAUUGAUAGGGACAGAUGGGGGCGUCAGUAUUCUGAAGCGAGAGGUGAAAUUCUUGGACCUUCGGAAGACUAACAACUGCGAAAGCAUUCGCCUAGGAUGUUCUCUUUAAUCAAGAACGAAAGUUGGGGGAUCGAAGACGAUCAGAUACCGUCGUAGUCUCAACUAUAAACUAUGCCAGCUAGGGAUUGGUGGACGUUUUCGUACGACUCCAUCAGCACCUUAUGAGAAAUCAAAGCAUUUGGGUUCCGGGGGGAGUAUGGUCGCAAGGCUGAAACUUAAAGGAAUUGACGGAAGGGCACCACCAGGAGUGGAGCCUGCGGCUUAAUUUGACUCACCACGGGAAAUCUCACCAGGCCCGGACACUGGAAGGAUUGACAGAUUGAGAGCUCUUUCUCGAUCCGG
rnacentral:rRNA from 1 species